GGGAGGGAGCGCGGAGAGGGCACACACGACGCUUCAACCCCAAAGGGAUCCGGCCCUUCAGCCCGGGGAUGAUUCCUACUUAGCCUGGUGAAGGCUUAAUGAUACAUGCUGCCAUACCGGUUUUGAGGAGAUCGUGGACAGAGCGAGACGGCUGUGGGAGAUGCUUGAGUUGCCCAAAACAAAUGUAGCCCCCCCCUCCCCAAGCAGAGGAGGAUGCUCCAAGCAAACAAAUAAAAUGAUGGAUGGUUCCUUCUGACAGCAGGGCAGAUUUUAAGUGACAAGAAUCCUGCCAGGGAUACGUUGAGGAUGGAAUACAUAUGAUAACAAUUUAAUAUGUACAGCACACAAGGGAAAAGUUUAUUAAUAUCACAUGGCGCAAUUGAAUUAGAUAUUUUAAUUAAACCUAAAUUUAUCUCACUGAUAGUGACUGUCAGUGGAUGUUUUGGGAAAUACAUGAACAUUUCGCUGAAAUCAUUGGUUUAAACAAAAGGAUAGUUUCCUCUUUCAAUAUUUCAAAUAUAUUAUGAUCACGUCAGCUAAAUGUUGCGGAGAAACAAUAUUAAGCUGCUACUGAAUGAGGUAAUGAGGUGAGAGAGCAUAGAAUAUCCUGUAACAUAACAUUUGCCACAUAUGACUGUCCCAGGCAAGUCCUAUUCUUUAGGAAGCCUCGUAAACAUAAUGUCCAGUCUACAUCCCCUUAUGUUAUUUUCUUAAGAUGCUUUUUUCAUAACCCUAGGAAAUAAAUAGAUGUGCUCAGGGACCAGGAAGACUGAACAACAACAAAAUUUGUAUCACUACAAAAACAUUCACAUGUAUUGCAUGAAGUAGAAAGGGACCGAGAUUUGGCCAAAACAAGUGGAAUCUAUGAUUUGUUGGGAAUCUAGGAAUAUUUCUGCCUUUUUUAAAGUGAAAUGUACCAGUUUGAAAAGCACCAGCUUGUUUUUAUUGCAUAAUUUGACUCUGUGGAUUGAACUAUUUUUGCCAAGUUUUGUCAAUCUGCCUGGCCUGUUUUAUACAAUUUACGCACAGUUAAUACAUCAUUCAUCAACUCUGUGUAAAUGAUGGGAUUUUUUUUUUCCUUCUCUCUGCUCCUAAUGUCACACAGCUAUGUCUGCCCAGUUCUGACUAAAUUACCCAGCUAAACUUUGAGAUAUAUAUGCACAUUAAGUAACAUAGCAUUUUGUUUCUUCAUUCCUUCAGUUCCUUCUUGUUUUGUUAUUAGUUAAUAACACAUCUUUGUCAGCUGUAGGUGGAUUCACUGUGAAGAGUCUUCUUUUAAACAACAAAAUAAUCCGUAAUAUGCUGUGUUAUGUAAUGAAAGCGAUGUAUAUAUAGAGAGAAUAUUUAUGCACAGUGAGUUUAAGGAAAAAAGAAAUAAA